CACGUAGGGCGCAAGCGUUGUCCGGAAUUAUUGGGCGUAAAGAGCUCGUAGGCGGUCUGUUGCGUCCGCUGUGAAAACUCGGGGCUUAACCCCGAGCCUGCAGUGGAUACGGGCAGACUAGAGGUAGGUAGGGGAGAAUGGAAUUCCCGGUGUAGCGGUGAAAUGCGCAGAUAUCGAGAGGAACACCUGCGGCGAAGGCGGGUAGCUGGGCCGACACUGACGCUGAGGCGCGAAAGCCAGGGGAGCGAACGGG
rnacentral:rRNA from 1 species